AGCACUGCAGCAGUGCGCUUCUCGAGCUGUCUCCGGUAAUGUUCCAUAGGAUACACACGCCCCUCUCCGCCCCUGCCGCGAGACAGGUGGUCGGGCUGUAUACCUCCAUCCCCGAGCGCUCCCUCGUCGUAUAAGAAAGGAAAUAUCCGUUGCCGGCGGGGAAGGAUCGGUCGGCGCGAGCGCGUCCCCGAUGGACUUCCAGCGUGUGACCUCCGCGAUCACCGGGCGGACAGCCGAGGAGGGGGGCCACGAGCGGAACGCACGAGGAGAUCCCCGCCGAUCUACUACCCAAUGUGUCCCAGCGAAUUGCUCGAGCUGCUGUUCACGUGAGGGGGUCUAGCGACGGAGGAACGAGAUGCACGAAUAGAAAGUUGUCACGAUUCUGGUGGGAAUUCGUCAUCCGAGAGGAUCAUUUCUGACUGUCCUCCGGUCCUGGAAGUUCCCUUGGGGGGGGGGUUUCAUUAUGGCCUCGGGCGCCGGUAAAGCCACACAGCCCCCCGGGCCCCCCUCCGCUCUUAACGGGACUGCGGCAGAGUUCCCGAACAUCGAGCAGGAGCUGUACGACUACCAGAUGCACAGCAAGAUGUGCAAGAAGAUCGCUCAGCUCACCAAGGUGAUUUAUUCUCUGAACAUGAGGAAUGAGGAGCAGGAGGCGGCCCUGCAGGCCUUGAGCCACGCUCAUCACCAGGAGCUGCACCGCAUCCUGAUGGAGACGUGUCAGGAGGGGGAGGGCUCGGCGCUGAGGACGCGGCUCCUGGAGCUGCAGGACUCUCUGGACGAGCAGCAGCGCGUCGGCGCCCAGGUGCAGGCAGACUUUGAGAUUUUUCGCAUCCAGGCGGAGGAAAGAGAGCGUGAAACGGAGGCAGAGCUGAGGAAGGAGUUCGAGGAGAGGCUCCAGGCUGCAGAGGAGGAGCUUCAGGAGGCCAAGGCCCAGAUCAGCGAUGCCCAGAAGGAGAACCUGGAGCUGAGCGAAGAACUGGAGAAGGCAGAGCGGCAGAUCCAGGAGCUGGAUACCAAAUGUGGAGAGCUGCAAAAAGCUGCCGACGAGGAGAAGAAGAGGAACGAGGAGCGACAACGAGAGGAUGGGGAGAAAAAUAAACAGGAGCAGGAGAGGCGAACGGAGGACUGUGAAGACCUGGACAGGGUGGGAGUCCUCUUAGAGGAGGUGAAGGCGCUGAAGGAGCAGAGGGAUCAGGCGGAGGAAGAAAAGAGGCGAGCGGUGGCAGACGAGCGGGGGCGUUGGGAGCAAAGGAUGAAUGAGGAGAAGGAGGAAAUGAGGAAGAAGAUGGAGGCCGAAUGGAGGGAGGAGCGGCAGAAGCGGGAGGAGAGGGAGGAGGAGGAGAAGAAAGGAAUGCACAGCGCGCUCAGAGAAAGAGUGAAGAGGGCUGAGGCCGAGGUGGAAAGUCACCUGGAGCGGCUGGCGGAAAGCAAGAGGAACACAGUCAAGCUGCAGGAGCGGAUACAGGACCUGGAGGAGGAGCUGGAGCUGGACCGGAGGUGUGUGUCGGAGGCCGAGGGCGUAGCUAAGCGGGCGGAGGAGGAGCUGGCGGUCGCCAAGGAGCGGCUCCUGCUGCAGGAGGACGAGCUGCAGAGCAGAGCAGAAGAACUGCUGAACCGCGGCGGCUGUGAGGUGUGUGUGUGCACUGAGGUGGAGGAGCUGAGGAGCCAGGUGAGCCGUCUGCAGAGCAGGAACAGGGAGCUGGAGCUUCAGAGCAGUGGCAGGAACAGUGACCACGCGCGGCAAAUACGGCAGCACGCCGAGGCCCUGUCCAGCCUGCGUUCAGAGAUGGUGAGAGCCCAGACUGAGGAGCUGCGUCGCAUCCAGAAGCACGCGGACGACGAGAGAGACAAGCUACAGGCGGCGAUCGAGAGGGAGCGGGAGAACGUCCGCAAGGAGAGGGAGCAGGAGCGGGAGCAGCUGGAGAAGGACCGAGGCAGGCUGCACAGGGAGCGGGAGGAGGAGAGGGAGGCGACGCACAAGGAGGUGGAGGAGGUCAAAGAGCGGCUGCGGAGGGAAAAAGAGGAGGAGGUGGAGCGGCUGCGCAAGGAGCUGGAGGUGGAGCGGGUCCGCGUCCGCGCCCAGCUGGACAAGAACAUCGAGGCGGAGCGGGCCAACGUGCAGCAGAAGCUGGAGGAGGAGAAGAGGAGGCUGGUGGAGAAGGCGGAGGAGGACAGGAAGCGGCUGAAGGAGCAGGUGCGCAAGGCCAUAGAGGAGGUGAUGAGGAGGCACGCGGCGGAGCUCCACAGCGUCCAGGAGGCCCUGAGCUCCGAGAAGAGGACCAACCACGAGGUCUGUGCGCGUUUAGAAGGGGAGAGGAGAACGGGCGAGGAGCUACGCAGCAGUCUGGAAAGAGAGAAGGAGGAGCUGAGGGCCAAGCUAAAAGAUGCUACGAAGGAGAUCUGCAGGUUGGAGUCCGUGAUCCAACAGCAGGACCGCAAAGACAAGGCGGCGCCCGACGCCGCGGCCGCGUGCGGCCCGCAGUGCUCUCACCUGGAGGAGGAGCUCCACCAGACCCGAGGUCAGCUGACGCGGCUUCAGGAGGAGGCGGACAGGCAGCGGGACAAGCAGCACAGGGAGCUGGCGGCCCUGCGGGCGGACAAGCAUCGGCUGGAGGACAAGGUCCUGGAGCAGAGCCGGCUGAACGCAGAGAGGAGCCUGCUGGAGCAGAGCCAGCGGCACACGGAGGACCGCAUCAGGGCAGAGUGCGAGGAUCGUCUCAGAGCGGAGUUCAGGAUAGAGAUGAACGCCGCCGUCGCCGAGAGCGAGCAGCGGUGGCAGAGCCGGGAGCAGGAGCUGCAGACGCAGGUGUCUGAGCUGCAGGGUCAGGUGGACGAGCUGCAGUCCCAGGAGGAGACAAAGAAGGCGUGUCAGGAGGACGAUUCCCAUGGCAACCCUGAAAUUGACAAGCUGAGGAAGGAGGUCCAGGAGACCAAAGAGAUCAACAAGAAGCUGAGGGAUCUGCUGCAGGAGCCCCAGACCCAGAGCCAGUCAUUAGCUGAGGAGAAACAGAGUCAUGCCAUGGCUCUGCAGGCACUGGAGAGACAGGCCAAGGAAGAUCUGCUGUCUGAGAGGAACAGACUACAGACGCUGCACCACCUGGAGCUAGAUAAGCAGCGCGCCGAGCUGACCCAGCAGUACACGGAGUGGAGCCGGCAGAUGACCCAGAGACACAUGCAGCAGAUAGAAGACCUACAGGCACAGCUACAGGCACACACACAGAUGAUGGCCCUGCAACAGGAUUUGAAGCAGCAGAACCAGAAUCAGGUGUUCGAGCGACAGCUAGAUGAGAGUCGCUGUGCGAUGCUGGAGCUGCAGAGGGAGAACACAACUCUGAAAAAGCAAUUAAAGGAGAGGUCGAUACAGGAAAAACCUGAACCUGAAGAGAAAGAAGAAGAAAGUGCCGACAUGAGGAAGAAGAGAGACGCACAGUUGGAGGAAGAAGCACAACGCCUGAAGGAGGAGGUCGAGAAACUGAGGGUGGAGAUGGAGAAGCUGGAGGAGUCACAGAAACACUGGGAGGAGAGGAAAGAGGAGGACAUAAAGGAAGAGGAGAUGGACGAGGAGAAGAGGAAGGAACGCGAGGAGGAGAAGCGGAGGGAGGAGGUGGAGGAGAUCAGGAGGGAGCACAAGAGGGAGAUGCAGAAUCUGGUGUCGGAGUACAGCAGCGCCCAGACGAACCUGCAGGCUCGAAUAGUGGCCCUGGAGAACGAACUGCGCGAACGCGAGGAGCGGUGCAGGAGGCGCGAGCCCCGAUGCGACGACCUGCAGCUGGGGAGGCUCCAGGAGAGGCUGACGGAGAGAGACCAGCUCAUCAAACGAUUGGUGGAAGAGAGGCAUCAGCUGCAGCUCCACCCUCCUGUUGCCGGGGACAACAGCACCCUCAGGCUCCGCGACAGCAAGUCCCGCCCCGGGAGCGUCACGCCAACCAUGAGGAAGCGCGGGGAGUCGCCCCCGCGCGUCACCAGCAUUCCCGGCGGCGGCAGCAGCGGCGGCAGCUACGACAGGAGCGUCUUCCUGCCCCACUCCUCGUCAUCCUCCUCUUCCUCCUCCUCCGUCCAGCAGCACUCCUCCUCCACCCUCCCCCACCAGUCCUCCUCCCAUCCUCAGGCCGCCCCGCACUACUCCACCUCCUCCCUUCCGCACAAGCACACGUCCCUCUCCCUCGGCCAGCAUUCCUCCCCCUCCCUCCCCCGCCCCGCCCGGGCCCGGACGUCCUGCAUCCCCCCGACCCCCGCGCCCACUGCCCCGCUGCCCGUCUGCCCGUCGGCGCAGACGGGAAUCCGAUACGUGUACCCCUCCUGCCAGGAGCCCCAUGCACAUCUACAGGCCCAGUCAAUCAGGGGUCCAUUCCUGGAGCCAAGGGGGACAGAGGGCCUGAAGCAGGAGUGGUUCACCAAAUACUUCUCCUUUUGAGCACAAGCGCAUUACGCAGCAGCUGCAAGUGCAUCUCUUCAUACAUGUCAUUGCUUCUUCUACAUCUGUUUGCUCGGACACACACACACACACACACACACACAGACGUAUGGGCUCAUCACCAGCAAGGCCACCUCGAACAUUGCCUCAAAGCUCAACCAAAAAGUGCUUCUCAGACACAUGCCUGACCUCUUCUCAGCCGGAUCUUGUUUGUAUAGUUUGGAAUGUCUCCAUAUCUUCUUUUAUUUAUACCAGUCUUCCUUUUUUGAAACCCAAACGUUUGCUCUGAUCUCAUCCCACGGUUUCUUGCAGGCAUAUGUGCAUUUGUUGAGUCUCGUCAUGUGUCUCCUGGGUUAUGGAAGCAUUCGACAUGUUCAAUCAAGAUCCUCGUCAGAACAGACACACACGUCUCACCAUACCAAAAUUAAGCUUCUCUCAAUGCAAAAAUGUAUAAUAAUUUUAAUGAACAAAUUGAAUAAAAUAUUUUGUUUUUGUA